rnacentral:rRNA from 1 species
UACAACGGCCAUACUAUGCUGAAAGUACCGGUUCUCGUCCGAUCACCGAAGUCAAGCAGCAUAGUGCGCGGUCAGUACUUGGGAGGGUGACCUUAUAAGAUGUCUCUGAAUAGUGUUAG